rnacentral:lncRNA from 1 species
AUGGAAGGCAGGAGCCGAGGACAGGUAAUCCUUAAGAGCUUUGAGAGCAUUUUCAUGCUUCUCAGUCCAAUCAAACUUCUUGUUCUUCCUCAAGAUAUCAUAGAACUCUUUACAUUUCUCUGAGGAUUUGGAUAUGAAUCUGUUUAAAGCUGCAAUCCUGCCUGUUAGCCUCUGGACAUCCUUAGCAUUGGCAGGGGAUUUGAUGUUUAUUAUAGCUUUGAUUUGCUCUGGACUGGCUUCAAUGCCCCUCUUUGUAACCAUAUACCCUAAGAAUUUACCUGCUUUAACACCAAAGUGACACUUUGAAGGGUUAAGUUUCAUAUUAUAUUUGUCAAGGAUAUUGAAUGCUUCCUCCAAGUCUCUCAGGUGAUCCUCAGCCUUUUAAGAUUUUACCACCAUGUCGUCUAUAUAAACUUCCAUAUUGUGUCCAAUCUGAUCGAUGAACAUCAUAUUCACUAGCCUUUGAUAAGUUGCACCUGCAUU